UUAUUUUGUACAUUUGGGGACGGGGGAUGCACGAGAAAUAUCAAAUAUCUCGCACGACACCCUUUUUAAGUUAGGGUUAUUUCAUCUUUUCCCAGCUUCGUCUUAUUUCUCCUUUCAGUUGCUCUUGCUCAAAACCCUAAACCCUAAAAAAACCCAACAAUGGCAGACAUUCCGAUCUCAAUCGAUAAUUUAAAGCGAAUUUGGCACUCCCAGGUUCACGACCCUGAGAAGUGGGCUUUUAACAUGAAAUUUUUGCGCGCUGCAGGACUAUUUGCUGGCUCAAUUGUUCUGAUACGGAACUUUGGAGAGAAUUUUGUUUUGUGAAUCUGGAUGAUGGGGUUUGAAAGUCAGAAUUUCAAUUUAAUUCUAUUUCUUUUAGCCCUUGCAGUAUCUUAGUAAACUUCUUUGCCCAAAUUCCAUGUAUUCUAAGAUUUCACUUUUGAUGAGUCUGUUACCAAGCUGUUUGAAGAGUUCUAUUAUAAUCAAUUGAGUCAAAAUACUACUCGCAGAGACUAUUUGAAGAGAAUGGUUUUGCUUUUACUCUUUCUUGGCUCCUAUUUACCUGAAUGAAAUAAAUUCUUGCGGAUCCUGUUGUCUAAUUAAGUACUAUGUUUUAGGGAGUUUGGUGAAACUUAUUGUGUGAAAGUCUGCACAAAUUAAGAAGUUUUUGCUAUUUGCAGAGUAAUACUAGUAUUCAACUAUUCAUGUAACCUGCAACCGUUCUUAAGAUUUUGAGAUUUGGAAAUUAGGUUUUAGCUGAAGUUAGGUGUUUGCGAAAUCAAGGUACUUAUAUUUGAAAUUAGGCCAAUUGUCCCAAUUCCAUACUUUAACGCGUAAAGUAAAAAUCUUAAAUGCAAUUAAAAAUGGUGUCAUUUAGAGUACUCCCAGUGGUUGCCCUCCUUGUGGGUUAUGAGGGGAGAGAGUGUAAAAGUAUUAUUAGUUUAUUAGGAGAGAAAAAAGUUGGGCAAAAAAUUGAUGCACAGCUCUUCAUGAUGAAUCAAGAAAAAGAGGAGCAAAGAAGGAAUUGGAGGAAAGAUAAAAUAUGGUGAGAUGGAAGAGUGAGAAAGUAAUAGAAUAAUCAAUGACCCCAAACUAUAGGGCAACCAUUGGUUGUGCUCUUAGUACCCAAUUUUUCUCUGGCUAGUGACUUAUCCUUCACCCUGUUUCUCUCUUUUCUCAUGUGCUUUUGCUUUCUGUCUUCCCUUUCUAUAGGCUAUAAGCGCUCCUCUCUCUUUCCUCCCUGUUGCCUUCUGCACUCUUUUCCUCGACCACCACCCCACAUAUUCGGCCUAUUUAUCUCUCAUGAUAUCGUUCUUCUUCUUCACUAUCCUAGCACUUCACAUUGUUUAACUGGAACUAUAGUUUCUUAUCAAUGAUUAUCUCAAAGUACAUAUGAAUAUUAUUACUGACUGGCGUCAGUGGCGGAAGGAAGAGGACGUGACAAGGUGGAUGGAAGGGGAGAGGAUGUGACAGGGUGGAUAGGGAGGGGAUGGCGGCUUUAAGGAUGGAAAGGGGUUGGGGGGAGGUGGAGGCAACAUGAGUGGUUGGAGUGGAACUGUGGAAGUGGUGGCGAGAAGAAGCGGAAUAGGCCAACUCAUUGUUCUGAUUUUAAAAAAUUACAAUUUAGUAAGUGAAACAGAUAUUUCAAUCACCGGAUAAGAAAAGGUGGCGAUGCUGAUAGAGUAGGUGGCAGUGUAGCUGUGUAGGUGGAGGAGAAAGAAGCACAAAGUUUCAUGUGAUGAUUUUCAAGUGUGGAGAUGUAUUUUCACCCAUUUUCCAAACAACACAAGCAAAUUUGAAUCAUGGUAAAUAGAUGAUUUGGAAUUGAAUGUUACGAUUUCAAUUUCCAAAAUAGAAAUCAAGGAAAUAGAUUAUUAUCUGUUAAGUGGUUUCUUAGGACUUGCUCUUUUGAUUUUACCACACGAUUGCAUAACAAUAAAUGGUUAGAAUUUGUUCCAUAUGAAACUGUGCACUACUUCUCUGAUCGACUAAAUACUGAUUAACCUUGUUUUUCUUAUUGGAAAGUUCGCUAUAAAUAUUAUGAAAUAAAUGAAAUAAUAUAAUCUGCUAUGAAUAAUAUGAAAUUUACAAUUAGUUGUAGUAUGUAUUAGCAUUAAAGCAUACGAUCAUUGAUUCCAAGAAAACACAAUUAACAUAUCGACUGAUGCGUGCUUAUUAGUUAUAACAUGUAACCAUAUCAUUUAAUUAAAGGAGGGUAUCCUAGCAAUAGCAUAUCCUUGCUUAAUUAAAGUUGUGAAGUGGAGAUGGAAGGAAGACAAAUAAUCCGGACGGAGGGGCAGUGAAGCAUAGAAAAGGUACACUACUUCAUA